rnacentral:rRNA from 1 species
GAGAUGGAUUGGUGCCUUCGGGAACUGUGAGACAGGUGCUGCAUGGCUGUCGUCAGCUCGUGUUGUGAAAUGUUGGGUUAAGUCCCGCAACGGGCGCAACCCUUAUCCUUUGUUGCCAGCGGUCCGGCCGGGAACUCAAAGGAGACUGCCAGUGAUAAACUGGAGGAAGGUGGGGAUGACGUCAAGUCAUCAUGGCCCUUACGACCAGGGCUACACACGUGCUACAAUGGCGCAUACAAAGAGAAGCGACCUCGCGAGAGCAAGCGGACCUCAUAAAGUGCGUCGUAGUCCGGAUUGGAGUCUGCAACUCGACUCCAUGAAGUCGGAACCGCUAGUAAUCGUGGAUCAGAAUGCCACGGUGAAUACGUUCCCGGGCCUUGUACACACCGCCCGUCACACCAUGGGAGUGGGUUGCAAAAGAAGUAGGUAGCUUAACCUUCGGGAGGGCGCUUACCACUUUGUGAUUCAUGACUGGGGUGAAGUCGUAACAAGGUAACCGUAGGGGAAC